GACAGAGGCCUCAAGCGUUAGGCGGAAUCACUGGGCUUAAAGCGUGUGUAGGCGGGUCGUUAAGUACCUUGUGAAAUCCCACGGCUCACCCGUGGAACUGCUGGGUAUACUGGCGAUCUUGGGCCAUUCAGGGGCAACUGGAACAAGCGGUGGAGCGGUGAAAUGCGUAGAGAUGUGGAGGAACACCAGUGGCGAAGGCGGCUUUCUGGUCUGUAACUGACGCUGAGGCGCGAAAGCGUGGGGAGCAAACAGG
rnacentral:rRNA from 1 species